rnacentral:rRNA from 1 species
UGGGGAAUAUUGCACAAUGGGCGCAAGCCUGAUGCAGCCAUGCCGCGUGUGUGAAGAAGGCCUUCGGGUUGUAAAGCACUUUCAGCGGGGAGGAAGGCGAUAAGGCUAAUAACCUUGUCGAUUGACGUUACCCGCAGAAGAAGCACCGGCUAACUCCGUGCCAGCAGCCGCGGUAAUACGGAGGGUGCAAGCGUUAAUCGGAAUUACUGGGCGUAAAGCGCACGCAGGCGGUCUGUCAAGUCGGAUGUGAAAUCCCCGGGCUCAACCUGGGAACUGCAUUCGAAAGUGGCAGGCUAGAGUAUUGUAGAGGGGGGUAGAAGUCCAGGUGUAGCGGUGAAAUGCGUAGAGAUCUGGAGGAAUACCGGUGGCGAAGGCGACCCCAUGGACAAAGACUGACGCUCAGGUGCGAAAGCGUGGGGAGCAAACAGG